rnacentral:rRNA from 1 species
GAUGAACGCUGGCGGCGUGCCUAAUACAUGCAAGUCGAGCGAACGGACGAGAAGCUUGCUUCUCUGAUGUUAGCGGCGGACGGGUGAGUAACACGUGGAUAACCUACCUAUAAGACUGGGAUAACUUCGGGAAACCGGAGCUAAUACCGGAUAAUAUUUUGAACCGCAUGGUUCAAAAGUGAAAGACGGUCUUGCUGUCACUUAUAGAUGGAUCCGCGCUGCAUUAGCUAGUUGGUAAGGUAACGGCUUACCAAGGCAACGAUGCAUAGCCGACCUGAGAGGGUGAUAGGCCACACUGGAACUGAGACACGGUCAAGACGCCUAAGGGAGGCAGCAAUAGGGAAUCUUCCGCAAUGGGCGAAAGCCUGACGGAGCAACGCCGCGUGAGUGAUGAAGGUCUUCGGAUCGUAAAACUCUGUUAUUAGGGAAGAACAUAUGUGUAAGUAACUGUGCACAUCUUGACGGUACCUAAUCAGAAAGCCACGGCUAACUACGUG